rnacentral:lncRNA from 1 species
AAUCAUUCACUUCCCAAAGCUUUUGAAGUUCAUAAACUUGCAUCUUACAGAAUCAUUUUUCAUAACUUUUUUUCCGAAGUCUCAACACAUACAACAAUGGGGUUUCGUUUACCUGGUAUGAGAAAGACAUCAUUUGCUACAAACCAAACAUCUUCGAAGGGCUUGGAUGUGGCAAAGGGCUACCUUGCCGUCUAUGUAGGAGAGAGACUGAAGCGGUUUGUAAUCCCUGUAUCAUUCUUGAACCAACCUUUAUUUCAAGACUUGUUGAGUCAAGUGGUGGAAGAAUUUGGAUAUGAUCACCCAAUGGGUGGUCUCACAAUUCCUUGUGGAGAAGAUGUGUUCUUGGAUAUCACUUCUCGCUUGAUGAGGUGCUAAUCCAUGAAGAUGAGACUAGUGUAAAUGUAUAGACACAAUUUUUGUAACAUAGUUUCUUACCUUGGAAAAGAUUCUGUCCAUUUUUAUUAUCUUUCUUGAGACAGUAUACAAAUUUUAUGAGAAAUUUCCUACAUGAAGAGUUUUCUCACAUAUUUUCUUCAUCUAUCAUUCUGGUCUGCAUAUUUCUCGAAUAAGAAAUUAGCUAGUUGUCGCUAACCAAAUAAUUCUUAAUGUACCAGAUUUAAAUUCAGCUAUUAUCUCUAAAUUUAUAACUAAGUUCAAUAAAAAAAAACUAUAUUAGGAGAAAGGAAAAGAAGAUAAGUUUCAAACAAAAUGACAGAUCCAAUGGAGAAACAAAGAGAAAAAGUCAUUGAAAUAAUUAGUAUUUGUCAACCUAUUACGUAUAACCUAUUACGUAUGAGGGAGGACCCAAUUCUUUACGAUAAGCAAUUCUUCUGAUGUAGUUAAUUCUUUGUCCUGUAACAUCUUCAUAUAUGUGAGUCAAGCAGCAACACAUUCUUGGCAUGAUUUAUGUUAGUUGGUUUUACGGCAUAACCUGGUAGUGACAAGUUCUCCAUUAAUUAUUCUUCAAACCUUGAACUAUUUUAAGAUAUUACAAUCUUUUUUUUGGAUGAAAAUAGAAAUUAAGCAUCUUAAUCCUGGAAUGGGGAUUGUUGCCCUAGUUUGAAAUUUGGGAUCUCAAAAUGAUGCAAGGACAAGCAAUUGCCCUGCUUUUUUGUUGGGUAUAAUUGUGAAAUGAAAAUGGAAUAAAAAGUGAGGUUUUGCCCCAAUGAAAAUUUAAGGGGGUGGAACCACAUGGUGAUGGAUGAGAUGAAGUAAUUUCUCCCUGUUUUCUUUCUUCUGUAAUGUUUGUUUAACAAUUAAAACAACCAAAAUAGAUAAUCUCAUCCUCUUAUAAAAUGGAAAUUAUGCUCAGAAUCUAUAUAUAAAUAAACAAAACCUUCAAUCAAAUGCAUAUGAAAUUUCUAUAACAAGGGAUAUUAUCCAUCAAAUUGAAAAACAGCAAAACUUAUUUUUUCAAGUCCAUUAUAACUGUCUUGGCAGGUGCAAAAUCUCAUGAACGGGACCAUCAGUUUUGAUUUUAAAUGUGUAUAAAAUACUUAUAAACCUUUCAAACACGUUCUAAAGAAAUUGAUGCUUCUCCUCGGCCCUAGCAAAAUACUAAUAUCUCUGCCCCCUCUCUGCCUUGUCUUCAUUGUGAAGCACUACUUCGUUUUAUAAUGAAAUUUACCAGAAUAAUCGAGUUCUUUUAGUGUUGCAACCAUUCUAAUUGUUCGGAGAAGUAAAACUUGAAAUGGAUAAAUAGAUAGAAAAUUAGAAUUUGAAUUCAUCACCAAUACUCAAAAUUUGGUAAUAAUAGUUACAAGUUCAAGAAGAUGUCUAUUGUACAAAAUGUCUCUAACAAUCUAUGUCAGUCUUCUAAAGUGAGAUCUAUUGUCUCUUGAAGCAAGAAAUUGUAUGUUGGAAGACAUCUUCGCUGCAAGGAAUUGUGAGGCCACCCAUGGGAUGAUCAUAUCCAAACUCUUCCUCAGCCUGACUCAGUAAGUCCUGGAACGAAGGUUGGCUCAAGUAUGAGAUGGGAAUCACAAACCGAUUUUGUUUCUCUCCAACAUACACGGCAAAAUAGCCCUUUGGUAUGUCUUCAGAUUUUGAAGUUGCUUGUCUUGCUGUCAAUGAUGCCCGUCGGAUGGCUGGUAAACGGAAACCCAUUUUUUGAGCUUGUUUGAAGGAAGAAGAACAAUCUCAAAUAUACAGAUAGUGAACCCAAAUUUGAUGGUUGAGGAUUCCAAAGGCUUGUGUUGUUUUUGAAGGUAUAGGAUAGUGUAUAUAUAGCUGUUAAAAGAAGGACGGCAUUCAGAUGAGAUAUCGCGUGGUGUUGUCUUCAGUACUUCUAUGAAACAUAAAGAAGAGUACAGGUGUGUAACCCCACCUUGUUCAACAACAGGCAACAUUAAGCCUCCACAUGCACCAAAUGAGACGUGGCUAAGUGAAGGCCUAAGUCUCUUCAUGCAUUAAUUGGUAUUACAUAUUAUGUCAAACAUGCUUUGGACAUGUUUUCUUCACAUCACCUAAUGUUGAAGAACAGCUGGAUAGAUGAAAUUAUAAGCCAAUGGACAGCGAGAGAUGAUAGACCAUUAUAUACAUGAGACUUGAAAUCAUACGUCUAAUCUAUUUCAAGUGGAUUGACUUGGGAUAGUGUACUAUCGACUGUAACAUCACCCAUUACUCCCAAAGAAACACUUCCAAGACAACACCAUAUGCUCUAUCGGUCCCAUGAUUCUUAUCUCAUAACCCUUCCACCCUCAAUCAUUCAAGUAGCCGACGAUUUCCUACAGCCUUUUUCAUCUAUAUAUAUUCACGGCUGCAAGCAUUUAGGGCAACAAAAAUCAUUCACAUCCUAAAGCAUUUUAACUUCAAAAACUAGCUUCUUCCUUACAACUCUCUUUUCUCUACUUUCUCUUCCCAAGUAUCAGCAACAUAUAAAACAUGGGUUUUCGUUUACCUGGUAUCAGAAAGGCCUCCCUUCCUUCAAUCCAAGCAUUUUCAAAAGCUGUGGACGUGCCAAAGGGUUACAUUGCAGUCUAUGUCGGAGAUAAAAUGAAGCGGUUCAUGAUCCCUGUAUCUUACGUGAACCAACCUUCAUUUCAAAAUUUGUUGAGUAAAGCUGAGGAAGAAUUUGGGUAUGAUCAUCCACUGGGUGGUCUCACAAUUCCUUGUGGAGAAGAUGUGUUCUUAGAUAUCACUUCUCGCUUCAAUAGAUGUUAAGUGCAUGAAGAUGGAACUGACUUAGAUGUAGACUAUAUACUUGACACAAUUUUGUAUUGUAGUGUCCUACCUUGAAAAUAUUCUUUCUCUCCUCUUUGAUAUCUCACUUUGUAAAAGAAAUUUCAUUUGAAAUAGAAGUUUGGGAACACUUACAGUUUUCUCAUUUUCUCCUCUCUUAUAUAUAUAUAUAUAUAUAUAUAAUCCAAUGCUAAUAAGCUGAAAUGUUCCGUUCAGAAUCAUCGUGUAGCAGCACCAUACAUGACAACUAUUCACCCAUAUGACGAUGCCUGAUUUAGUUAUGAUUAACGAAAUUUGAUCACCUCUGUUUCAAGCAGCAGCCCCUUCUUCACAUGGGCUAUUCAACAUAUUAUAGUUGGUUUUAGGACCAGAAUAUAAGAUAAGUUUGAUUGAAAUACAUUGAUAGUGUUUUUUAAAGAUUAUUUAAUCAUAGAUUGACACAUAAUUGAAAAUAUAUUAAAAUCCAUGCAUUUUGUUGCCAAUGUAGUCUGCUACACAACUCUCCGAAACACAGGUGCUAUCCAAAGAGCACAAACCUCCACCAGACACUCAUAAAUGUGUGAGCUGAAGGCAAAGCCUAAAUCUUCCAAAAAGUUGUUAUACAAACUCGAGGAAUCCCCCUCUACCGAACCCUUUAAAAAACCAUUCACAGAGUUAACUGAAUAAUCUGUGUUACCUCCAUCCUUCCAGACCCAUUUAUCCUCGAUAUCAAGAAAGGGACUCGAAAAUUGCACAACCCCCAGAAGCUGACUAACCUGUUCCAUUUCCCAAGCAAAAAGACCUCUUCUCCAAGCCAAGUCUCACACCCAAACAUUAUUAACCCAAUCCCCACAAAGAGAAAGCUUAGCGUCUUUGAUCAUUGACAAUGAAAAAAAGCCUUAGGAAAGAUCUUUUCAAGCUGCCAGGACCCAACCAACUAUCUUCCCAAAAAGGUAACUCCUUCCCGUUUGCAAGCUUCCACCUAAAACGAUUUUCAAAGGACAUUCUCCAAACUUCCUACUUCCAGACCGCUUUCAAAUCUCUCCACCAGAGUGACUCAUAAUUGCAAAGUCGUUGCUCUUUGAGGUUUCCCCACCCACCAUAUUUAGACUCUAGAAUGUCCUUCCAGAGUCUUCCCUUAAUCUGACUCGGACGCCAUAUACAUUUUCCCAGUAAGGCCAAAUUAAAGAGCCUAAUAUUAAGGAUGCGAAGACCGCCUGCUUCCUGAGACUCACACACCUUGUCCCAAGACGCUCAGUCAAUUUUCCUCCCCUCGGAUCCCUAGUCCCACAAAAAGUUCCUUUGUAGCUUCACAAUCUUCUUCACAACAGUGGCAGACAUCUUGAACAAAGAUAAAUAGAACAAUGAUAUAGACGAAAGAACAAACUUGAUCAAGCAAAUCCUCCCAGCCAUUGAGAGAAAUCUCCCUUUCCAAGAACUCAAUCUAGUAUUGAUUCUGUCAACUACACCGUCCCAAAAUGCGCUCCUCUUCUGACACCCCCCAAUUGGCAACCCCAAGUACUUGAAAGGGGUUUUCGUCACUUCGCAAUUCAGAAUAGACGCAAAUCAGAGAAUAGCUUUCUGAUUGACCCCCACCCCACCAAUUCUGCUCUUCGAGAAAUUCACCUUCAGACCAAAAGCUAGCUCAAAGCAAUUCAACAUAACCCUAAGGUUGUACACACUUUUAAUGCUGGCAGCGCAAAAAACAAGGUGUCAUAUGCAUAUUGAAGCAUAUUAACCUUAACCUUCUUGUACCCAACCUCAAGGCUCUCAAACAAGUUUUUGUCAACAACAUUCCUAGACACCCCGACAAGUCCUUCAGUUGCAAUAAGAAACAAAAAUGGUGCUAACGGAUCUCCUUGCCUCAAGCCUUUCUUCGGAGUAAACUCCUUAGUCGGGCUACCAUUUACUAGUACAAACACCGUCGCGGAUUCCAAACAAGAUUUAAUCUAGGAAAUCCACUUCUCGCAAAACCCAAGUUUGUCUAUCAUGUAAAAGAUAAAUUCCCAACGCACAGAGUCAUAUGCCUUCUCAUAAUCCACCUUAAAAAGACACAACUUUUCUUUUUCUGCUUCACCUCCUCCAACACUUCAUUACCCACUAAAACACUAUCAAGUAAACAUCUUCCUUCGAGGAAAGCAUAUUACCUAAGAUUAAUGAAUUUAUUCAGCACUUAGAAAUAAUCUUGUAUAUGCACCCCACUAACGAAAUUGGUCUGAAAUCACUCAAUUGUUGUGAAUUGUCGAUUUUCGGGAUGAGACAGAUGAACGGCGUGUUUGACCUCCUUGCCUAUAUUCCUCUAAAUGCAAAUUCAUUCACUGCCGAGAGGAUAUCCUCCUUUAAACAUUCCCAAUAGAACUUAAUGAAACCAAAGUUGAAACCAUCUGGGCCAGGGCUUUUCGAGCUGUCACAACUCCAAACUGCAUCCGUAACUUCCUCUUCAGAAAACGCACCUACUAGCAUCUCGUUGUCGUCGCUAGAAAUUCUAUUAAAACCUAUAUUAUUCAAUCUGACCUGCGGCCCAACAUUCCCAUCAAAUCUGGCUUUGUAAAAAUCUCUGACCUUAUUUUUAACCACAUCCUUGUCUUCGCACCAAAGACCAUUCUCAAAGACCCUGUUAAUCCCAUUUCUCGCUCUUCUCCACUUAACUACCGAAUGAAAGAAUUUUGAAUUUAAAUCGCCUUGUUUUAACCACUUUUGGCGGGCUUUUGACUAAAUGUAACAAAACAUUUUUUGCAUAUGCUGCUAAGCAAGCCCAUUAUCAAUCAGGUUCAAGUGAGUUGACAAGCCUUCCAGCAGCUUCAGAAUGGAAGCCCUGACCAAGAUUCCUGCAUCCCCCAAACUCUGUCGAAGUUUGUCUUCAGCUUUUAAGCUGCAUUUCUGAUGAACCAUUAAGGUCCAGUUUUGCAUAUAAUCUGAGCCUUUCUCUAAGGUUUGCAAUCAGAACCGAAAAUGCAUUUUGCAUAACUUCUGAGCUGCACUCUCGAUCAGUUGUGAUACCACAAGUCCUAUACAUAUGUGCAUUGUGUUGCCUAUGUAGUUUGCUACACAGCUCUCCGAAACACAGGUGCUAUCUAAAUAGCACAGACCUCCACCAGACACUCAUAAAGCUGCGAUUAAUAAGCUGCAAAAUAGGUUAUCCUUUCCCAAUUUGUCUUUGUGCUCUUGAUCUGCAUAACUUUUUGGCGUUGCAACCUGCAUAACAAAGAUAGUGUAUAUAUAGUUUUAAAGACUACCUAGAAAUUGAAUUUGAAGGAAAAGACUGUUAAUAGGAUGGAGGGCAUAUACAUGAAAUAUCAUGUGGUUCUGUCUUCAAGGCCUCUAUCAAGGAUAAAGUGGUGUAGACAUGUGUAACUCCACCACCUUAUCAAACACACGAGAAGUACACAAGUGAUGUUAAACGCUCAUUCAUGCAUUAAUUGGAAUUUCAUAAUGGUGUAAAUAUGUUUGGGACAUGUUUUCUUCAGGUUGAUAAUGCAGCCUAAUGUUUAAGUAAUGUACAGAUGGAAAGUAAUUUCCGACUAUUGAAUUAUAAGGCUACGGAUAGCAAGAGAUUUUAGACCAUAAUAUUUUAGAGGUUUAGAUCAUACGUCCGUUUUAUUUCAAGUGGAUUCACUUGAGAAGGUGGGGCCCAUACUCUCCACUGUAACAUGUUACAUUAUUCAUCCUUGAGAAAGUCCUACAAGGCAACAACACAUGCCCCUGUCUCACUGUUGGUCCCGUGAAUCAUAUCUCAUCGCUCUUUCACUCAACUAUUUAUGUGGACAACAAUUAUACACUGUUCUUUCAUCUCUAUAUAUAUCUGCAACUCUACAAGCCUUUAACACAACAAAAAUCAUUCACUUCCCAAAAGUAUUUGAAGUUCAUAAACUUGCAUCUUACAGAAUCAUUUUUCAUAACUUUUUUUCCGAAGUCUCAACACAUACAACAAUGGGGUUUCGUUUACCUGGUAUGAGAAAGACAUCAUUUGCUACAAACCAAGCAUCUUCGAAGGGCAUGGAUGUGGCAAAGGGCUACCUUGCAGUCUAUGUAGGAGAGAAAAUGAAGAGGUUGAACCAACCAUCAUUUCAAAACUUGUUGAGUCAAGCUGUGGAAGAAUUUGGGUAUGAUCACCCAAUGGGUGGUCUCACAAUUCCUUGCGGAGAAGAUUUGUUCUUGGAUAUCACUUCUCGCUUGAUGAGGUGCUAGUCCAUAUAGAUGACAUAGAUGUAUAUGUACAGACACAAUUUUUGUAGCAUAGUUUCUUACUCAAUUUAUUCUAUAUUGGGACAGUACAAAAAAUGUUAUCAGAAAUUUCCUACAAGACGAGUUUUCUCACAUAUUUCUUCCAUCUGUCAUACUGAUCUACGUAGUUGUUGAAUAUGAAAUUAGCUACUCGUCUCUCUAACCAAAUAAUUCUUAAUGUAUCCGAUUAAAAUUCAGCUAUUAUCUCUACAUUUUGUAACUUAGUUCAAUAUAAAAAAUAACUACAUUAUGAGAGAGAGGAAAAGGAGAUAACUUUAAAACAAGAUCACGGAUGCAAUAGAGAAAUAGAGAAAAAAACUCAUCGAAAUUUAAGCCUUUAUGAACCUGAAGUGGUUUUCAUCUUGCUUAAAGAUUUUUGUGAAACAUCCAUGGUCACUGAAAAUCCGAAAUAUGGCGUGACACGAGUUCAAAUCCAUUCAUAGAAGUCUCUGUGAUUCACAUAUGAGGGAGGACCUAAUUCUUUAUUAUAAACAAGUCUUCAUAUAUGUGUGUUAAGCGCCAACACCAUCUUUGCUUAAUCAUGUUAGAUGGUUUUACGGCCACAACAGGUUAUUGUAAUGACGAGUUCUCCAUUGAUUGAAUAUUCUUCAAACCUUGAACUAUUAUAAGUAGUAUCUUACUCCUGAAAUGGGGGAUAAUUGCCCCAGUUUGUAAUCUGGGAUCUUAAGAUGAUGGAAGCAUAAGCAACUGCCCUGCUUUUUUAUUGGGUAAAAUUGAGAAAAGAAAAUGGAAUAAAAAGUGAAGUUUUCCCCAAUGAGGAUUUUAAGAGGGUGGAAUAACAUGGUGAUGGAUGGGAUGAAGUAAUUUCUCCAUUUUCUUCUUUCUUCUGUAAUGUUUGUUUAACAAUUCAAAAAAAAAAAAAUAAACAAUAUCAUCCUCUUACAAAAUGGAAACUGUGUAUGUAGAAUCUAUAUACAGAUAAAAGAAACCAUACCUCAAAAUCAUAUGUAAUUUUUAUAAUCCUAUCCAUUAAAAUGAAUGCGAAGAACACAACUUAACACAACUUAACUUGAAGUCCAUUAAACUGUCUUGCUAGGCAAAAACCACUAGUGUGUAUAAAACACUUAAAAAACUUUCAAAUCCAUUCUAAAAAGAUUGAUUCUUGUCCUCAGCACUAUAAAAGUACUAAUAUCUCCACCCCCUCCCUGCCUUCCCCUGAUCGCGAAGCACUGGUUUUCUUAUGCUGUGGAACUUAAGAAAAUAUAUAGUCGAUUUCUAGUGUUGUAUACCAUUCCAACUACUGGAGAAGUAAACAUUGAAAGAUGUAAAUAGAAAGACUUAGCAUUUGAAUUCGUUAUCAUUACUCAAAAUUUGGUAAUAAUAGUUACAAGUUCGAGAAGAUGCCCAUUGUACAAAAAUGUCUCUAAUAAUCUAUGUUAGUCUCCUAAAGUGAGAUCUAUUGUCCCUUGAAACAAGAAACUGUAUGUUGGAAGACAUCCUCACUGCAAGGAAUUGUGAGGCCACCCAUGGGAUGAUCAUAUCCAAACUCUUCCUCAGCUUGACUCAGUAAGUCUUGGAAUGAAGGUUGGUUCAAGUAUGAGAUGGAAAUCACAAACCGUUUUUGUUUCUCUCCAACAUACACGACAAAAUAGCCCUUCGGUAUGUCCUCAGAUUUUGAAGUUGCUUGUCUUGCUGUCAAUGAUGCCCUUCGGAUGGCAGGUAAACGGAAACCCAUUUUUUGAGCUAGUUUGAAGGAUGAAGAGAAAUCUCAAAUUUACAAAGAGUGAACCCAAAUUUUUAUGCUUGUCGAAGGCUUGUGUUGUUUUUGAAGGUAUAGGAUAGUGUAUAUAUAGCUGUGAAAAGAAGGAGGGCAUACAGAUGAGAUAUCACGUGGUGUUGUCUUCAAUACUUCUAUGAAGCAUAAUGAAGGGUACAGGAGUGUAACCCCACCUUGUUGAACAACAGGCAACAUUAAGCCUCCACAUGUACCCAAUGAAACGUGGCUAAGUGAAGACCUAAAUUUCUUCAUGCAUUAAUUGGUAUUACAUAUUUUGCAAAACAUGCUUUGGACAUGUUUUCUUCACUUCACCUAAUGUUGAAGAACAGCUGGAUAGAUGAAAUUAUAAGGAAAUGGACAGCGAGAGAUGAUAGACCAUUAUAUUCAUGAGAUUUGAAAUCAUAAGUCUAAUCUAUUUCAGGUGAAUUGGCUUGAGAUAGUGUACUAUCGACUGUAACAUCUCCCAUUCAAGUAGCCGACGAUAUCCUACAAAAAAUUUCAUCUAUAUAUAUAUUCUAGGCUGCAAGCCUUUGGGACAACAAAAAUCAUUUCCUAAACCAUUUUAACUUCACAAACUAGCAUCUUAUUUGCAACUCUCUUUUCUCAACUUUCUCUUCCCAAGUAUCAACAUAUAAAACAUGGGUUUUCAUUUACGUGGUAUCAAAAAGGCAUCCCUUCCUGCAAUCCAAGCAUUUUCAAAAGUUGUGAACGUGCCAAAGGGUUACAUUGCAGUCUAUGUUGGGGAUAAAUUGAAGCGCUUCAUGAUUCCUGUAUCCUACUUAAACCAACCUUCAUUUCAAGAUUUGUUGAGUCAAGCUGAGGAAGAAUUUGGGUAUGACCAUCCAAUGGGUGGUCUCACAAUUCCUUGUGGAGAGGAUGUGUUCUUAGAUAUCACUUCUCGUUUCAAUAGGUGCUAAUUGCAUGAAGAUGAAACUGACUUAGAUGUAGACUAUACUUGACACAUUUUUGUAUCUUAGUUUCUUACCUUGAAAAUAUCCCCUCUCUAUUUUUCUUAUCUUGUUUAGGCAAGUGUAAAAAAUAUUAAUCUGAAUGAGAAGAUUUCUACACAAUGUUUUUUCUCACAUUUUUUGUGAAUCUGACCUAUAUAAUUACUGAAUAAGAAAUUUGUUAAAAAUCUUAUCUGUAUCACAUUUUCGCUUCAUCUAUCAUGAGUGAUGUAACAGAGAAAUAAAACGAAGCAUUCAUGAAAAUUAUAAGCUUUUGUUAACCUGAACUGCUUUGGUUCACCUGGCUCCAAGUGCUAUGCGAACAUCUCUGGUCACUUGAAUAUUUCCUGACAUGAGAUCAUAUUUCAUUCAUAAAAUUCUUUCACCCACCUAUGAAGGAGGCCUCAUUAAGCAGCAUCUCACCAUGUUUUCAUGAUGGAGUUUGUUAGUUUUACUUGAAGCAGUUGAAGAAAUUUUAAUCACCUUGUUUUGGAUGAAAACAGAGAUUAAAAAUCUUAAUCCUGGAACGGGGGAUAAAGUGACUGCCCUAUUUUAUAUAAUAGAUAUAUAUGUUAUCCACUGAAAUUAAUAGGAACAACAAAACUUCAUUUGAAGUCCAUUAUAACUGCCAUGGCUGGGGCAAAAUCUCACGUAUGAUUGGAACCAUGAAUUUUAAUUUAACACGUGUGAAUAAAACUUCAAAAAUAUAUUUAAAUUCGUCCCUCACAAAUUGAUGCUUUUCGUUUACCAUAGCAAAACACUCUUACUCUGCCCUGGGCUGACUGUGCAGAUCUUGGUUUUCUAGGCUGACGAAUUUGUGAGAACAAAAGUCUUUUUUGUGGAACAUAAUAAAUGUGGCUCUUAAAUGAUUUUAUGAGCAGUUACUAGAAAUAUUAAAUCAAUAAUUAAAACAUAAUUAAAACAACAGAGGAAUAAUAAAAUAUCACGUGUGCAUUUAUAUGCAGUUAAAAAACACAAUAUCCAACACUCUCCUUGAUUUUUUGAACUGCAAAUUCCAAUCUUCGGUCUUGAGAACUCAAACUUGUUGGCUGGGAGUGGCUUGAUAAACAAAUCUGUAAUUUUUUUUUUCAUCAUCGCUUUGCUUAAUCUCCAUUCAACACCUUUUGAUUUGACAUAAGGUGCAAAUUCUAAAAGACUUUUGUUAAAGUCUAAGCUGAUAAGAUAAUCAUCAAUUCGGUUAUACCAUGUUCUGGGAACAUCUUUUAAGCUAUAAAUAGCUUUAGAUAACUUAUAAACUUUGUCUUCUUUUCCUUCCACAAUGAAACCUUUAGGUUGCUCAACAGAAAUUUCUUCUUCAAUAAAUCCAUUAAGGAAUGUUGACUUGACAUCCAUUUGAUGUACCUUUCUAUCUCGAGGUAUGUCAACAAGCUCCCGAAUUUUGUUCUUCUCAAUCAUAUACACAUCUUUCUCCAUUGUCUUUUUCAACUUUGGGUCAUUGAUAACUUCUUUGUGAUCAGCACAAGUUCUUUGUGAUCAGCACAAGUUCUUUGUGAUCAGCAGGUUCACAUACUGCAACGUUACAUUUAUGAUAUAUGUCAGAGAAUGAUCGAUUGCCUUUAAUUGGUGGAUCAUCUUCCAUUUCAGAUUUUUGCAUCUUGAGAAGCCAUUGACUAGUCAGCUCCUCUUGAAAUAGAUCUAAUGAGAAACUUUUGCCUCUCAUUUGUACCUUGAACAAAUCUUGCCCUGUAGCAUCCUUGAUCAAACAAUAGUUAUCUUCAAAAAACAUUGGUUCCUAUUCCUUUUAUUGAAAUGUGACCCCCAUGACCUAUCUUGACCUUUGAAAUUUUUGAAGGCUUCAACUCAUUGAAUUUUUUUUUGUCAUAAGUCAUGUGAUUUGUGCAUCCACUAUCAAUUAGCCAAGAUGCACUUGAAAUAUUGCUGGAGAAACCAGUUGCAAAGAAAAGUACAUCCUCCUCCUCAUUUGCAAAUUGAGCAUCUACAUCUACGUCUUGUGCUCACUUUGGUUUCCAUCUUGUUGCUCACUUUGGUUUCUACAAAUGACUGCUUUUGAUUGCACUUGUUGCACUUAGCAUCAGGUCUUCUCCAGGACUUAAAUGGUGGAUGACCUAACUUGUUGCAAAUUGCAAUGCUUACAAGGAGGGUAAUUUCUCCUUUUGUUGUUAUUGUGUGCAGCAACUUCUCCAUUUGCUGGUUAUGCUUGAUUUUUUUUGUUUCUCCAGCCACCUUCAUGUUUGGCUGUUAAGGCUCCUUCUAUUGCUCCAUCUUUUCUCAUGACUUUUCUUUGUUCUUGUGCUUGUAAAGCAUUUAAGAGCUCUGCAAGAGAAAUUUUUGAUAGGUCCUUUGUGUUCUCUAGGGUUGUUACGGUGGCUUCAAACUUCUCUAGAACAGUUACAAGCAGUUUUUUCACAAUUCUUGAAUCUUUUAACACAAAUCCAAGCAACCUCACUUUGUUGGCAAUGCUUAGAAGUCUCUCAGGGUACUCUUUUACGGAUUCUGACUCCUUCAUUAUCUGCAUUUCAAACUCCCUGAUUAGAUUCAACACUUGCAUUCCACGAAUCCUCUCAUCGCCUUCAUAUUCUUCCUUGAGGCAAUCCCAUAUUUCUUUUGCUAACUUCAAAGACAUUAUCCUUGUGAAUACCAUAGGAGAUACAACUGCAAAUAGACAUGCUUUUUCCUUUGAUCUUUUCAUCUUCUUUUUCUUCUGUGAUUUUAUUUGUGCCACAGUAGGGUUUUCUGGAAGGGACUAAAUUUCAUAAAUCAAAUGCUUCUAGGUAGGUCUCCAUACGAACAACCCAUAUUUGAUAAUUGUCUCUAUGAAAGACAGGUGGUGUCAUUGCUGAAAAAUUGGAACCUCCUUCCAUUGAUGCCCCCUACUAACCUUGGUUUUUUUAGAAUAAAUCAGAUGAAGAUAUUUUUAUUAUUUUUGCUAACAAUUACAUUUAUAGUACUUGCAGUAACUAACUCUUAAAUGAUUUUAUGAACACUUACCUAGAAAUAUUAAAUCAACAAUUAAAACAGAAGAAUAUAAUAUCACGUGCACUUAUGUGCAUUUAUAUGCAAUUAGAAAACACAAUAUCCAAUAUCCAACAGAAUGUCAGUAUCCUAAAGUGUGAGAUUUAUUGUCCAUUCAAGCAGGAAGUUAUAUGUUCAAAGACAUCUUCAGUACAAGGAAUUGUGAGGCCACUAUGGGAUGAUCUAUCCAAACUCUUCCUCAGCUUGACUCAAUAAAUAUUAGAGGGAAGGUUGGUUCAAAUAUGAUAUGAAAAGAACAAACAGCUUCUGUUUCUCUCCAGCAUACACUGCAAGAUAUUGGUUUGCAACUUUUACAGAUUUUGAAGCUGCAUGCCUACCUGUGGGAUGACUGUCAAUAGCAAGUAAGCGGAAACACAAUUUUUGUGCUUGUUAUGAGAAGAAAGAAGAACAAUAUGAGAUUAACAUUGAAUGGACCUAAAAUUUCAUGUUUGUGGAUGACAAUAAAGAUAGUGUAUAUAUAGUUUUAAAGACUCCCUGGAAACUGAAUUUGAAGGAAAAUGUAGAUUUUUUAGGAACAAAGGCAAUAGUUAACAGAGAAGAAAAUGGAGAGUAUGCAAAUCUGAUUAAAGACUGGGAUUGCUAACUGCUGCAAACUAUUAUUUUAAGGCAACUAAAUUAAAUACACUCAGAUAAUAACAGACUAAGAUAUUAGGUUUCAUGAUUCUAGACACUACAUUGAUCAUGAAAAUAGUUAAUCCACUAACAGCUAAUUCAACAGAAUAAAUUUCACUUAUUCAAGAAUGAAACAAUUCUGACAAGUUCCUGAAUAUAUGAAACACCCAAAGACACGUUCUCAAUAGAAAAGACUGUUAAAAGAUGAAGGGCAUACACAUGAGAUAUCAUGUGGUUCUAUCCUCAAUGUCUUUCUCUAGGAUAAAGUUGUUUAUUCAUGCAUUAAUUGGUAUUUCAUGAUUGUGUACAUAUGCUUGGGACAUGUUUUCUUCAGGUUGAUAAUGCAGCCUAAUGUCUAAGUAAUGUACAGAUGGAAAGUAAUUUCCGACUAUUGAAUUAUAAGGCUACGGAUAGCAAGAGAUUUUAGACCAUAAUAUUUUAGAGGUUUAGAUCAUACGUCCGUUUUAUUUCAAGUGGAUUCACUUGAUAAGGUGGGGCCCACACUCUCCACUGUAACAUGUUACAUUAUUCAUCCUUGAGAAAGUCCUACAAGGCAACAACACAUGCCCCUGUCUCACUGUUGGUCCCGUGAAUCAUAUCUCAUCGCUCUUUCACUCAACUAUUUAUGUGGACAACAAUUACACACUGUUCUUUCAUCUCUAUAUAUAUCUUCAACUCUACAAGCCUUUAACACAACAAAAAUCAUUCACUUCCCAAAAGUAUUUGAAGUUCAUAAACUUGCAUCUUACAGAAUCAUUUUUCAUAACUUUUUUUCCGAAGUCUCAACACAUAUAACAAUGGGGUUUCGUUUACCUGGUAUGAGAAAGACAUCAUUUGCUACCAACCAAGCAUCUUCAAAGGGUAUGGAUGUGGCAAAGGGCUACCUUGCAGUCUAUGUAGGAGAGAAAAUGAAGCGGUUUGUAAUCCCUGUAUCAUACUUGAACCAACCAUCAUUUCAAAACUUGUUGAGUCAAGCUGUGGAAGAAUUUGGGUAUGAUCACCCAAUGGGUGGUCUCACAAUUC